UGGUUACAUUUUAAACAGCACCACUAAACAUGCUACUGGUGCGAAUAACCUCACAAAAAUGGCGAAGGCGAGGAUUGCAGGAAGAAGCGUCCGUUUAUGAAUUGUGCAAUCAGCAAUCGGAAAUGGCGACGCAUUAGGGGAUUCUUACACUUUGUCCAUUCUCAAUAAUCGGGUUCUCUACUUCUAAACCGACGAUGAGUAAACCGGUAGAUAUCGUAGAUAUCGCCGCAACUGCCACGCCUCAGUCGCAGCAGCCACCAUUGGCCACCCAAGUCCAAGCACAAACAGUAAACGAUUCGCUGCAGAAUGACUCAAUUGCCAAUCUCCGCCAAAUCUCCGGUGCCCUUUUGGCGGUCCAUCGCUGCCUCACUGAGCUACAACAACACGUUGAUUCCAUCCGGACCUCAAUCGACUCUAUGCUACCCCCACAUACAACUAAUACCACUCCUUUAGCCACGUCAUCACCUCAAGCAGCGGCUUCCCUAGCCGCAGACACAAUAUCAACCCCAGUCCCAGUCCCUGAAUCAUCUUGGGAAUCCGACCCAUCUGAAGAAGAAGAAGAAGAAAAAGAAGAGGAAGAAGUGAGAUCCUCUCCUCGUUCAGAGCUGAUAUCCACUCAUCCUUCAGAGCUGGAAACCGUCUGCAAAAGAGAAGACAAAGAAGAAGAGGAAGAGGAAGAUGUGAGAUCCCCUCCUCGUUCAGAGUGCGAUAAAGAAGUGAUAGAAGAAGACAAAGAAGAGGAAGACGUGAGAUGCCCUCCUCGUUUAGAGCUGGAGAGCCUCUGCGAUAAAGAAGUGAUAGAAGAAGACAAAGAAGAGGAAGACGUGAGAUGGCCUCCUUGUUCAGAGCUGAUAUCCACUCAUCGUUCAGAGCUGGGGAGCCUCUGCGAAAAAGAAGUGAAAGAAGAGGAAGACGUGAGAUUUCCUUCUCGUUCAGAGCUGGAGAGCCUCUGCGAAAAAGAAGUGAAAGAAGAAGAUAAAGAAGAGGACGACGUGAGAUUUCCUCCUCGUUCAGAGCUGAUAUCUACUCCUCGCUCAGAGCUGGAAAGCCUCUGCGAAAUGAUGGAUGGUCGCGGUCUGCGGAGGUACAUGGUAAUGCAUCUCUUUGAUAUAAAAGGACUGCUUGAGCAAGUCCCCAAGGCAUUGAGACUCUCCAGUAAUCCAGCAAGGCUUGUAUUGGAAUGUGUUGGCAAGUUUUAUACUCAAAAGGGCAAGUCAUUUGUUAAGGGCUCGCAAAUGGUCCAGGCAAGGAAGGCUUCUGUAUUGGUUUUGCAGUGCUUCUUGUUGAUGGGAAUCAGCGACGAGAUUGAGAUAGGGGUGAAGCAAGAGGCGGAGCAGGCAGCUUUAGCAUGGAGAAAGAGGUUGAUUGCCGAAGCAGGCAUACUUAAGGCUAAGGAAAUUGAUGCCCGGGGUUUGUUGAUGCUUGUUGGGUGUUUCGGAAUUCCAGGAAGAUUUAAAAAUGAGGAUAUCAGGGAUUUGAUUUGGGUAAUUUUCAUCGGGCAGGGGAGAAUUCGCAGAAAUUUUAUUUUCUGGUAGCCUCAGGAGAUCAAAUGUCCUCAUGGCAAAGAUUCCAGAUAUAAUAGAGGAGAUGGCAAAGCAAAAGAUGGAAGUUGAUGCUGCUCAUAUUGCCUAUACCUUUGGAAUUGAGGACAGAGUUAACCCUAAGAGAUUUUUGACAUCAUUUUUACUUGAGUCUGAAGAGUCAUUGAAGAAAAUGGUGGAACAAUCACAAGGUUCACUUGCUGUUGUGGAUCAAGCAAAAAGGAGGCACUUGUUUGAUCUGAGAUCUGUCAUCAAAUGUUUGGGACUUCAUGAUAUUGAUCCUUCAGAACUUCUUCCCGGGUGGCAAAUCAAUGAGAAAAUAAUGAGCUUGGAGAAAGAAAUUACCGUAGGUGAGAACCUUAACAACAAAAAAAUUGCCAGAGGUGCGAAGAUGGCACAAAAGAGAAAAAUUGAUGAAACUGAGUCGUCUAGAAAGUUCAGCAACAAAGAACCGAAGCACUCACAUGUUCCAAAUCCAUGGCUACAGCAGGAAAGAGUUGAUAGUACACCCGGGCAAAUAGGGAGUCAUGGUCAGCUAUAUCGAUGGCCUGGGAAUGCAGCGGUGUAUGACGGAUUGGCCUCCUGCAGCUAUGCUCAUCCUUUGUCCUACUUGUACUGGCCGAGAUAGUUUUACCUUGGGCAGUCAUUACUUUCUACCUUACACUACUAGAAAUUAAACCUGCGGCAACCCUUUCAAAACCGUACCUAUAGAUACUGAAACCGUCCCUGUAGGGAUAAUGGGACAGUUUGGGACGUGUUCCAAGAUUCAGCGUUACAAUUAGGGAGGCUCAUGGUUCGGUUUGGAUCGGUUUUUCCCUAAAAAGAAACCAAACCAAGUAAGUCGGUUUUUUAAA